rnacentral:rRNA from 1 species
GAUGAACGCUGGCGGCGUGCCUAAUACAUGCAAGUCGAGCGAACGGACGAGAAGCUUGCUUUUCUGAUGUUAGCGGCGGACGGGUGAGUAACACGUGGAUAACCUACCUAUAAGACUGGGAUAACUUCGGGAAACCGGAGCUAAUACCGGAUAAUAUUUUGAACCGCAUGGUUCAAAAGUGAAAGACGGUCUUGCUGUCACUUAUAGAUGGAUCCGCGCUGCAUUAUCUAGUUGGUAAGGUAACGGCUUACCAAGGCAACGAUGCAUAGCCGACCUGAGAGGGUGAUCGGCCACACUGGAACUGAGACACGGUCCAGACUCCUACGGGAGGCAGCAGUAGGGAAUCUUCCGCAAUGGGCGAAAGCCUGACGGAGCAACGCCGCGUGAGUGAUGAAGGUCUUCGGAUCGUAAAACUCUGUUAUUAGGGAAGAACAUAUGUGUAAGUAACUGUGCACAUCUUGACGGUACCUAAUCAGAAAGCCACGGCUAACUACGUG